CCUACGGGAGGCAGCAGUGGGGAAUAUUGGACAAUGGGGGGAACCCUGAUCCAGCGACGCCGCGUGAGUGAAGAAGUAUUUCGGUAUGUAAAGCUCUAUCAGCAGGGGAGAAAGAAAUGACGGUACCUGACUAAGAAGCCCCGGCCAACUACGGGCCAGCAGCCGCGGUAAUACGUAGGGGGCGAGCGUUAACCGGAUUUACUGGGUGUAAAGGGAGCGUAGGCUGCGAUGCAAGUCUGAAGUGAAAGGCGGGGGGCUAACCCCUGGCGUGCUUUGGAAACUGGAUGUCUUGAGUGCAGGAGAGGUAAGUGGAAUGCGGAGUGUAGCGGUGAAAUGCGUAGAUAUUAGGAGGAACACCAGUGGCGAAGGCGGCAUACUGGCCUGUAACUGACGUUGAGGCUCGAAAGCGUGGGGAGCAAACAGGAUUAGAUACCAUAGUAGUC
rnacentral:rRNA from 1 species